CCUCUUCAGAAUCCCCUUAUUUAUGGAGAGAGAAUUAAUAAAGAAUUGCUAAUUAUUUGAGAUUUUAGGGCUCAGUUCAACUACAGAGAGGCAACAUGGAAGUGCAAAUGGAAAAUUCAUGUUUGGAAGGUGAUAGCAAUGCAUUGGUCUUGCCUGCAAAGAAACGUAAUAAAAGGAAAGGCAUAAAUCAGGAGAAUGAAGGGGUCCAAAAAAAGAAAAACCCCAAGUUGAG
rnacentral:misc_RNA from 1 species